CGGUGUAAAUUAAAUCAAACAUUUUUGUUCAUCGUUGAAGUACAGUUAUCAUCAACUAAUAAUCAUGUCUCGUUUAUCUCUUUAUUUCCUUGUUGGAAUUGCAACACUUGGUCUCAUUGGUAUUGCAAAAAGCCAACUCCUAUCAUCAGGUUCAGGUGCUACAAUGGACUUCAACGAGUGUUCGCAAGCUAUAAAAGAUA